AAAAAGUCAAAGGCUGUUUUUUUUUCCAACUUUAAUUGUUGGUCUUAUAUGAAAUUUUUUUAUAAUUCGUAUUUUCAUUGUUGUUAGAUGAUAGAACAUGAUUAAUAUUUUAUGCGUGACUUUUUUAAAAAAAGAUUCCUAUUUUUUUCAAAUAAGACGAACAGUCAAACGUUAGGUACGGAAACC
rnacentral:pre_miRNA from 1 species